rnacentral:tRNA from 1 species
GGGCCCGUAGCUCAGCCAGGUGGAGCGCCCGGCUGAUAACGUGAGGCCGGCAGAGACCGGGCGGUCGGGGGUUCAAAUCCCCCCGGGCCCA